ACGGGCGUAUUUCAGUGGUAGAAUCGCGGUCUCCAAAACCGCUAACGGAGGUUCAAUUCCUCCCGCCCGUGCCA
rnacentral:tRNA from 1 species